rnacentral:rRNA from 1 species
CCCUUAGAUGUUCUGGGCAGCACGCGCGCUACAAUGGUCUUCGCAAACGGAUGCAUUCUCGAAGGAGAAUGCCAAUCUUGGAAUCUAUGCCUUGGUCGGGACAGUUGCUUGCAAUUUUUCGACUCGAACCAGGAAUUCCUUGUAAUCGUGAUUCAUCACAUCACGAUGAAUACGUCCCUGCCCUUUGUACGCACCGCCCGUCGCUCCUACCGAUCGAAGAGUUAGGUGAAUUGUUUUGAUCGAUAAGAUUUGACUAUGGUCAACUCUCGUUGUGAAAUUCUGUGAAUCUGACUGUUUAGAGGAAGGAGAAGUCGUAACA